rnacentral:rRNA from 1 species
UAAGACGAACCGUGCAAACGUUGUUCGGAAUCACUGGGCUUAAAGGGCGCGUAGGCGGGGGACCAAGUCCGGGGUGAAAUCUUUCGGCUCAACCGGAAAACUGCCUUGGAUACUGGUCUUCUUGAGGGAGGUAGGGGCAGGUGGAACUUCCGGUGGAGCGGUGAAAUGCGUUGAUAUCGGAAGGAACGCCGGUGGCGAAAGCGACCUGCUGGAUCUCUUCUGACGCUGAGGCGCGAAAGCUAGGGGAGCGAACGGGAUUAGAUACCCCGGUAGUCCUAGCCCUAAACGAUGGGUACUAGGUUGCGGACUUGACAUGAGUUCGCAGCCGAAGCAAAAGUGUUAAGUACCCCGCCUGGGGAGUAUGGUCGCAAGGCUG